UGGCAUGUAGCACAGCGGUAGUGCAGCGGACUGUUAAUCCGUCGGUCGCUGGUUCGAUCCCAGCCUUGCCAGCCA
rnacentral:tRNA from 1 species